rnacentral:rRNA from 1 species
GACGAACGCUGGCGGCGUGCUUAACACAUGCAAGUCGAACGGAAAGGCCCUGCUUUUGUGGGGUGCUCGAGUGGCGAACGGGUGAGUAACACGUGAGUAACCUGCCCUUGACUUUGGGAUAACUUCAGGAAACUGGGGCUACUACCGGAUAGGAGCUCCUGCUGCAUGGUGGGGGUUGGAAAGUUUCGGCGGUUGGGGAUGGACUCGCGGCUUAUCAGCUUGUUGGUGGGGUAGUGGCUUACCAAGGCUUUGACGGGUAGCCGGCCUUGGAGGGUGACCGCCCAGAUUGGGGCUGAGGACGCCCACACCCCCCAACGGGGCGCAUGAGCGGGUAAUUUUCCCUAAGGGGCCGCACCAUGGGUCGGCACUCCCGCGGGGGGGAGCGUCGCAUUGGGGUUGAAAACCUCUUUUCCCUGUACCGAAGCGUGGGUGUCGGUAAUGGAAAAGAAAGAACCGGCUAACUCCGC